rnacentral:rRNA from 1 species
UACGUAGGGUGCGAGCGUUAAUCGGAAUUACUGGGCGUAAAGGGUGCGCGGGCGGUCCUGCAAGUCAGGCGUGAAAUCCCCGGGCUUAACCUGGGAAUGGCACUUGAAACUACGGGACUGGAGUAUGGCAGAGGGAGGUGGAAUUCCACGUGUAGCGGUGAAAUGCGUAGAGAUGUGGAGGAACACCGAUGGCGAAGGCAGCCUCCUGGGCCAAUACUGACGCUCAUGCACGAAAGCGUGGGGAGCAAACAGG